rnacentral:rRNA from 1 species
ACAGCAGUAGCCGCGGUAAUACAGAGGGUGCGAGCGUUAAUCGGAUUUACUGGGCGUAAAGCGUGCGUAGGCGGCUUCUUAAGUCGGAUGUGAAAUCCCUGAGCUUAACUUAGGAAUUGCAUUCGAUACUGGGAAGCUAGAGUAUGGGAGAGGAUGGUAGAAUUCCAGGUGUAGCGGUGAAAUGCGUAGAGAUCUGGAGGAAUACAGAUGGCGAAGGCAGCCAUCUGGCCUAAUACUGACGCUGAGGUACGAAAGCAUGGGGAGCAAACAGGAUUAGAUACCCGCGUAGUCCCUGUCUCUUAUAA